GACGAACGCUGGCGGCGUGCUUAACACAUGCAAGUCGAACGGUGAAGCCCCUUCCUUUUUGGUGGGUGUGGUUGCGUGGCGAACGGGUGAGUAACACGUGAGUAACCUGCCCCCUUCUGCUGGAUAACCGCAUGAAAGUGUGGCUAAUACGGGAUAUUCUGGGUCUGUCGCAUGAUGGGUCUGGGAGAGAUUUUGUUUAGGCGGGGGUGGGGCCCGCGGCCUAUCUGGUUGUUGGGGGGGUGAUGGCCUACCAAGGCGGUGGGGGGUAGCCGGCCUUUGAGGUUGGACGGUCGUAUAGGUAGAGAGACGCGAUACGGACUCCGACGGGAGGCAGCAUGGGUCAAUAGUGCACAAUGGGCGUGAGUCUGUUGCAGCGACGCCGCGUGAGGGAUGGGGGCCUUCGUGUUGUGAACUUCUUUCGCCAGUGAAGCAGGCCUGCCUCGUUUGUGGCUGGGUUGACGGUAGCUGGAUAAGAAGCGCCGGCUAACUACGUG
rnacentral:rRNA from 1 species